CCGCGAAAGCGGGGCUAAUACCGGAUAAUAUCUAUUUUUCUUUGGAAUUUUAGAUCAAGGGUGGCUUUUAUAUGUAAGCUAUCGUUUGGAGAUGAGCUCGCGUACCAUUAGCUUGUUGGUAGGGUAAUGGCCUACCAAGGCAACGAUGGUUAGCUGGUUUGAGAGGAUGAUCAGCCACACUGGAAUUGAUAUAUGGUCUAGACUCCUAUGGGAGGUAGCAGUGAGGAAUUUUGCGUAAUGGGGGAAACCCUGACGCAGCAACGCCGCGUGAGUGAUGAAGGCUUUUGGGUCGUAAAACUCUGUCAAGUGGGAAGAAAAUACAGUAUGUUAAUACCAUACCGUACUGACGGUACCACUGAAGGAAGCACCGGUUAACUCCGUGUUAGUAGUUGUGGUAAUACGGGGGGUGCAAGCGUUAUUCGGAUUUAUUGGGCGUAAAGGGCGCGUAGGCGGUCUUUUAAGUCAGAUGUGAAAGUCCGGGGUUUAACCCCGGAAGUGCAUUUGAAACUAAAGGACUUGAGUAUGGGAGAGGGAAGUGGAAUUCCUGGUGUAGAGGUGAAAUUUGUAGAUAUUAGGAGGAACACCGGUGGCGAAGGCGACUUCCUGGACCAAUACUGACGCUGAGGCGCGAAGGCGUGGGGAGUAAACAGGAUUAGAUACCCUGGUAGUCCACGCAGUAAACGUUGAACACUAGGUGUAGCGGGUAUUGAUCCCUGCUGUGCCGUAGUUAAUGUAUUAAGUGUUCCGCCUGGGGAGUAUGAUCGUAAGGUUAAAACUCAAAGGAAUUGACGGGGGCCCGCACAAGCGGUGGAGCAUGUGGUUUAAUUCGAUGCAACGCGAAGAAUUUUACCUGGAUUUGAUAUUCCGAGAACUCCCUUGAAAGAGGGAGGUGCCCUUUGGGGAACUCGGAGAUAGGUGCUGCAUGGCUGUCGUCAGCUCGUGUUGUGAGAUGUUGGGUUAAGUUUCGCAACGAGCGUAACCCCUAUCUUUAGUUAUUAUUAUUUAGUUGGGGAUUCUAAAGAUACUGCCCCGGUUAACGGGGAGGAAGGUGGGGAUGACGUCAAGUCUUUAUGGCCCUUAUGUCCAGGGCUACACACGUGCUACAAUGGGCUGUACAAAGGGUUGCAAACCUGUAAGGGUGAGCUAAUCUUAUAAAGCAGCUCUAAGUUCGGAUUGGAGUCUGCAACUCGACUCCAUGAAGCUGGAAUCGCUAGUAAUCGCGGAUUAGUAUGCCGCGGUGAAUACGUUCCCGGGCCUUGUAUAUAUCGCCCGUCACACCAUGAGAGUUGGUUGUACCAGAAG
rnacentral:rRNA from 1 species